AGCAGAUCACUCAAGGCAUGCGCAGACAAUAAUUCACAUUUCUACCACAUUGGAGAGUACAAAAUCACAUGUUGAAUAUUGACCGGAAGACACUGACAAUCAGAAUGGUUUUAUGCAAUAUUGCAUUAGAGCAGAUCACUCAAGGCAUGCGCAGACAAUAAUUCACAUUUCUACCACAUUGGAGAGUACAAAAUCACAUGUUGAAUAUUGACUAGAAGACACUGACAAUAAGAAUGGUUUUAUACAAUAUGGCAUUAGAGCAGAUCACUCAAGGCAUGCGCAGACAAUAAUUCACAUUUCUACCACAUUGGAGAGUACAAAAUCACAUGUUGAAUAUUGACCGGAAGACACUGACAAUCAGAAUGGUUUUAUGCAAUAUUGCAUUAGAGCAGAUCACUCAAGGCAUGCGCAGACAAUAAUUCACAUUUCUACCACAUUGGAGAGUACAAAAUCACAUGUUGAAUAUUGACUAGAAGACACUGACAAUAAGAAUGGUUUUAUACAAUAUGGCAUUAGAGCAGAUCACUCAAGGCAUGCGCAGACAAUAAUUCACAUUUCUACCACAUUGGAGAGUACAAAAUCACAUGUUGAAUAUUGACCGGAAGACACUGACAAUCAGAAUGGUUUUAUGCAAUAUUGCAUUAGAGCAGAUCACUCAAGGCAUGCGCAGACAAUAAUUCACAUUUCUACCACAUUGGAGAGUACAAAAUCACAUGUUGAAUAUUGACUAGAAGACACUGACAAUAAGAAUGGUUUUAUACAAU